GUUUUAAUAAUUUAAUAUAAAAUAUUGGUCUUGUAAACCAAAAAUAAGGAAUCUUUUAAAACU
rnacentral:tRNA from 1 species